rnacentral:lncRNA from 1 species
GGAACCUCCUUGCCAAACUCAACCACUCCAGACAUGUCCCUCCUGUUAGUUGCAUAGUUUCUGACGGUGUCAUGAGCUUCACCUUAAUUGCUUCAGAAGAACUAGGCAUUCCUGAGGUCUUCUUUUGGACCAUAAGCGCUUGUGGGCUCUUGUGUUACCUUCACAAUGGUCAACUCGUCAAAAAGGGCCUCGUACCCCUCAAAGGUACUACUAUACUAUAUAUUAAUUUAUGUUCUUUCAGUAUUUUGAUAUGAAUUUAGUGUAUGUAUGGAUGAGGAUUAACAUAAUUGAUUCUUAAAAUUAAUUUUGGAGUAAAGUAUUUUAUUUUUGGAUUUUUUUAAACUGAAAAUUGAUUUUCUAUUCAGAAUCAAUUUCUUAAUAUGAAAUUAAACAUGUGAAUAUUUAUAUAAUAUUAACAACGUGAUUUUAGAUAUAACAUGAAUUCAAACGUGCACUCAAUUUAUUACGUGCCUAAGCUAGCAGACUCGAGUUAUAUGACAAAUGGAUAUUUGGAGACUGCCAUCGAUUGGUUACCUGGCAUCAAAGAAAUUUUGUUGAGAGAUUUCCCAAGCUUCUUCAGAACCAUAGACCCACAUGAUAUUAUGCUGCAAGUUUUGCAGGAAGAGUGUGGGAGAGCUAAGCAUGCUUCUGCAAUCAUUUUGAACACAUUUGAGGCUUUAGAGCAUGAUGUUUUG